rnacentral:rRNA from 1 species
CACCGCGGUUAUACGAGAGACCCAAGUUGACAGAUAUUCGGCGUAAAGGGUGGUUAAGAUUUUACUUAAACUAAAGUCGAACGCCUUCAAGUCUGUGGUACGUUACUCGAAGGCAAGAAGCCCCACUACGAAAGUGACUUUAUUUAUCUGACCCCACGAAAGCUAGGACA